ensembl:snRNA U2 U2 spliceosomal RNA
GUUGCUUCUCUGCCUUUUGGUCAAGAUCAAGUAUAGUACGUGUUCUUACCAAUUUAAUAUCUGAUAUAUCCUCUAUCUGAGGACAAAAAUAGUAAAUGGAUUUUUGGAGCAGGGAGAUGGAAUAGGAGCUUGCUCCAUCUACUCCAUGUAUUGAUCUGAUAUUGCAGUACCUCCAGAAAUGGGGCACCCCCU